rnacentral:tRNA from 1 species
GCCUCUGUAGCUCAGUGGCAGAGCACUGGUCUUGUAAAACAGGGUUCGUGAGUUCAAUCCUCACAGGAGGCA